rnacentral:rRNA from 1 species
AGAGUUUGAUCAUGGCUCAGAUUGAACGCUGGCGGCAGGCCUAACACAUGCAAGUCGAGCGGUAGCACAGAGAGCUUGCUCUCGGGUGACGAGCGGCGGACGGGUGAGUAAUGUCUGGGAAACUGCCUGAUGGAGGGGGAUAACUACUGGAAACGGUAGCUAAUACCGCAUAACGUCGCAAGACCAAAGUGGGGGACCUUCGGGCCUCAUGCCAUCAGAUGUGCCCAGAUGGGAUUAGCUAGUAGGUGGGGUAACGGCUCACCUAGGCGACGAUCCCUAGCUGGUCUGAGAGGAUGACCAGCCACACUGGAACUGAGACACGGUCCAGACUCCUACGGGAGGCAGCAGUGGGGAAUAUUGCACAAUGGGCGCAAGCCUGAUGCAGCCAUGCCGCGUGUGUGAAGAAGGCCUUCGGGUUGUAAAGCACUUUCAGCGGGGAGGAAGGCGUUAAGGUUAAUAACCUUGGCGAUUGACGUUACCCGCAGAAGAAGCACCGGCUAACUCCGUGCCAGCGGCCGCGGUAAUACGGAGGGUGCAAGCGUUAAUCGGAAUUACUGGGCGUAAAGCGCACGCAGGCGGUCUGUCAAGUCGGAUGUGAAAUCCCCGGGCUCAACCUGGGAACUGCAUUCGAAACUGGCAGGCUAGAGUCUUGUAGAGGGGGGUAGAAUUCCAGGUGUAGCGGUGAAAUGCGUAGAGAUCUGGAGGAAUACCGGUGGCGAAGGCGGCCCCCUGGACAAAGACUGACGCUCAGGUGCGAAAGCGUGGGGAGCAAACAGGAUUAGAUACCCUGGUAGUCCACGCCGUAAACGAUGUCGAUUUGGAGGUUGUGCCCUUGAGGCGUGGCUUCCGGAGCU